rnacentral:rRNA from 1 species
AUACGGAGGGUGCAAGCGUUAUUCGGAAUCACUGGGCGUAAAGGACGCGUAGGCGGGUUGGCAAGUCAGAUGUGAAAUCCUACAGCUUAACUGUAGUACUGCAUUUGAAACUGCUAACCUAGAGUAUGGGAGGGGGAGAUGGAAUUAGUGGUGUAGGUGUAAAAUCCGUAGAUAUCACUAGGAAUACCGAAAGCGAAGGCGAUCUCCUGGAACAUAACUGACGCUAGGGCGUGAAAGCGUGGGGAGCAAACAGGAUUAGAAACCCUAGUAGUCC